rnacentral:rRNA from 1 species
GACGAACGCUGGCGGCGUGCUUAACACAUGCAAGUCGAACGGAAAGGCCCUGCUUGCCGUGUACUCGAGUGGCGAACGGGUGAGUAACACGUGGGUGAUCUGCCCUGCACUUCGUGAUAAGCCUGGGAAACUGGGUCUAAUACCGGAUAGGAGCCAUUUUUAGUGUGAUGGUUGGAAAGUUUUUUCGGUGUAGGAUGAGCUCGCGGCCUAUCAGCUUGUUGGUGGGGUAAUGGCCUACCAAGGCGGCGACGGGUAGCCGGCCUGAGAGGGUGGACGGCCACAUUGGGACUGAGAUACGGCCCAGACUCCUACGGGAGGCAGCAGUGGGGAAGAUUGCACAAUGGGCGCAAGCCUGAUGCAGCGACGCCGCGUGGGGGAUGACGGCCUUCGGGUUGUAAACUCCUUUCGCUAGGGACGAAGCUUUUUGUGACGGUACCUAGAUAAGAAGCACCGGCUAACUACGUG